UAGGGAAUCUUCGGCAAUGGACGAAAGUCUGACCGAGCAACGCCGCGUGAGUGAAGAAGGUUUUCGGAUCGUAAAACUCUGUUGUUAGAGAAGAACAAGGACGUUAGUAACUGAACGUCCCCUGACGGUAUCUAACCAGAAAGCCACGGCUAACUACGUGCCAGCAGCCGCGGUAAUACGUAGGUGGCAAGCGUUGUCCGGAUUUAUUGGGCGUAAAGCGAGCGCAGGCGGUUUCUUAAGUCUGAUGUGAAAGACCCCGGCCCAACCGGGGAGGGUCAUUGGAAACUGGGAGACGUGAGUGCAGAAGAGGAGAGUGGAAUUCCAUGUGUAGCGGUGAAAUGCGUAGAUAUAUGGAGGAACACCAGUGGCGAAGGCGGCUCUCUGGUCUGUAACUGACGCUGAGGCUCGAAAGCGUGGGGAGCAAACAGG
rnacentral:rRNA from 1 species